GACGUAGGGCGCGAGCGUUGUCCGGAUUUAUUGGGCGUAAAGAGCUCGUAGGCGGCUUGUUGCGUCGACCGUGAAAACCCGGGGCUCAACUUCGGGCUUGCGGUCGAUACGGGCGGGCUAGAGUUCGGUAGGGGAGACUGGAAUUCCUGGUGUAGCGGUGAAAUGCGCAGAUAUCAGGAGGAACACCGGUGGCGAAGGCGGGUCUCUGGGCCGGUACCGACGCUGAGGAGCGAAAGCGUGGGGAGCGAACAGG
rnacentral:rRNA from 1 species